AUGGGGUACAUAAACAUCAAUAGAAAAUCCCAUAAAAUCAAUACAAGUCAGAUUUCGUCUCCUCCUUCAGAUCUCAAAUAUCAAGAAUUUUUGUCAAAAAGGGUAACCAAAAGAAGUAGUUCUAUCGGAGAAGUUUUAGAAAUUUCAAGUUUAAACAAACAUAAAUCAAAUCAGAAUGUACAUUUAGAGGGGGGAUUCAGGGCGGUUCCGGCGGUCCCAGUAUUGAUUGAUGGAUGGUGUGAGCAUGAAGAGGAGACCUUGAAGAUGCAAAGAGAAACGAUUCCAUGGAACAAAGAAUUUGAAUUUUCUUUUGUAAAUUGA